GACGAACGCUGGCGGCGUGCUUAACACAUGCAAGUCGAACGAAGUGGCGAACGGGUGAGUAACGCGUAAUCCACCUGCCCUUCAGAGGGGGACAACAGUUGGAAACGACUUCUAAUACCGCAUACUGAAGGUGGGGUUUGCGUCUGAUUAGCUAGUUGGAGGGGUAACGGCCCACCAAGGCGAUGAUCAGUAGCCGGUCUUGGAGGGGGGACGGCCACAAUGGGACUGGAACACGGCCCAGACUCCUACGGGAGGCAGCAAGGGGGAAACUUCCGGAAUGGACGAAAGUCUGACGGGGCAACGCCGCGUGAGGGAUGACGGCCUUCGGGUUGUAAAGCUCUGUUAAUCGGGACGCGGUACCGGAAUAGAAAGCCACGGCUAACUACGUGCCAGCAGCCGCGGUAAUUC
rnacentral:rRNA from 1 species